rnacentral:rRNA from 1 species
AUUGAACGCUGGCGGCAUGCCUUACACAUGCAAGUCGAACGGCAGCACGGACUUCGGUCUGGUGGCGAGUGGCGAACGGGUGAGUAAUAUAUCGGAACAUACCUUGUAGUGGGGGAUAACUAUCCGAAAGGAUAGCUAAUACCGCAUACGCUCUAAGGAGGAAAGUGGGGGAUCGCAAGACCUCAUGCUAUAAGAGUGGCCGAUAUCUGAUUAGCUAGUUGGUGAGGUAAAGGCUCACCAAGGCGACGAUCAGUAGCUGGUCUGAGAGGACGACCAGCCACACUGGAACUGAGACACGGUCCAGACUCCUACGGGAGGCAGCAGUGGGGAAUUUUGGACAAUGGGGGCAACCCUGAUCCAGCAAUGCCGCGUGAGUGAAGAAGGCCUUCGGGUUGUAAAGCUCUUUUGUCAGGGAAGAAACGGUUGUGGCUAAUAUCCAUGGCUAAUGACGGUACCUGAAGAAUAAGCACCGGCUAACUACGUGCCAGCAGCCGCGGUAAAAC